CGGUGGAGUAUGUGGUUUAAUUCGAUGCAACGCGAAGAACCUUACCUGGUCUUGACAUCCCGGAGACCCUUAGGAACUAGGGGUGCUCCCAUCUGGAAGAAUCUGGAGGACAGGUGCUGCAUGGCUGUCGUCAGCUCGUGUCGUGAGAUGUUGGGUUAAGUCCCGCAACGAGCGCAACCCUUGCCUUUAGUUGCCAGCAGUUCGGCUGGGCACUCUAAAGGGACUGCCGGUGUUAAACCGGAGGAAGGUGGGGAUGACGUCAAGUCCUCAUGGCCUUUAUGACCAGGGCUACACACGUACUACAAUGGCCGAUACAAAGGGCAGCGACACUGCGAGGUGAAGCCAAUCCCGUAAAAUCGGUCUCAGUCCGGAUUGGAGUCUGCAACUCGACUCCAUGAAGUUGGAAUCGCUAGUAAUCGUGGAUCAGCAUGCCACGGUGAAUACGUUCCCGGGCCUU
rnacentral:rRNA from 1 species